UACGUAGGUGGCAAGCGUUAUCCGGAUUUAUUGGGCGUAAAGGGAACGCAGGCGGUCUUUUAAGUCAGCGGUCAAAUCGUGGGGCUCAACCCCAUCCAGCCGUUGAAACUGGGGAUCUAGAGUGUGCGAGAGGUAUGCGGAAUGCGUGGUGUAGCGGUGAAAUGCAUAGAUAUCACGCAGAACCCCGAUUGCGAAGGCAGCAUACCGGUGCACAACUGACGCUCAGGCACGAAAGCGUGGGUAUCGAACAGG
rnacentral:rRNA from 1 species